rnacentral:rRNA from 1 species
UACGUAGGGGGCUAGCGUUGUCCGGAAUCAUUGGGCGUAAAGAGCGGGUAGGCGGUCCGAUAAGUCGGCUGUGAAAGUCAAGGGCUCAACCCUUGAAUGCCGGCCGAUACUGUCGGGCUAGAGUCCGGAAGAGGCGAGUGGAAUUCCUGGUGUAGCGGUGAAAUGCGCAGAUAUCAGGAGGAACACCAAUGGCGAAGGCAGCUCGCUGGGACGGUACUGACGCUGAGACGCGAAAGCGUGGGGAGCAAACAGG